rnacentral:rRNA from 1 species
GAUGAACGCUGGCGGCGUGCCUAAUACAUGCAAGUCGAGCGAACAGACGACAGGUUUGUGCCUUUGUCGUGUGCGGCGGACGUGUGAGUAACACGUGGAUAACCCACUUAUAUGACUGGUAUAACUGCGGGAAACCGUAUCUAAUACCGUAUAAUAUAUUUAAUCGUAUGGUUCAGUGGUGAAAUACUGUUUGUCUGUCACUUAUACAUCCUUUCGUGCUGCUUUAGAUAGGUUGUAAGGUAACGGCUUAGCAAGGCAACGAUGCGUAGCCGAACUGAGAGAGUGAUCGGCCACACUAGAGCUGAGACGCGGUCAAGACGCCUAAGGGAGGCAGCAGUCGGGAAUCUUACGCAAUGGGCGAGAACAUGACGGAACAACGCCAAGUCAGUGAUGGAGGUGUUCGGAGCGUAAAAAUCUGUUAUUAGGGAAGAACCUCUGUGUAAGUAAAUGUGCACGAAUUGACGGUACCUACACAGAAAGCAACGGCUAACUACGUG